rnacentral:ncRNA from 1 species
UGUAAAACGCAGAUGAGGAAAGUAGGCUAGCGCCUUUUCAUAGUAGAGAGAACCAUCACCGGCUGAAAGUGGUUCAUGAAAAUGCUUGCUGAAGUGCCCCUCGGAGUCCCUUGCCGAAAGUGUUAGUAGGUUUGGGCGGCAACUCCCCGUUAUGGAGCUCAAGGGAACAGGUGAGUUUUUAUAAACCUGUUAAACAGAGUGGAACCGCGUCUAUCCGUACGUCUCUGUG